GUUUUUGAGGGCAAGGGACUUCAAAGUAAGGGAUGCAUUCGUUAUGUUUCGAAACACAAUUCGAUGGAGGGAGGAAUUUGGUAUCGAUUCACUUGUGGAGGAGAAUCUGGGGGAUGAUUUGGAGAAAGUGGUGUAUAUGCAUGGUUACAGCAGGGAGAAUCAUCCAGUGUGUUACAAUGUCUUUGGAGAGUUUCAGAACAAGGAUUUGUAUUCAAAAAUAUUCUCCGACGAGACCAAGUUCUUGCGUUGGAGGAUUCAAUUCUUAGAAAGGAGUAUUAGGAAACUUGAUUUUCGUCCGGGAGGAAUUUCUACUAUUUUUCAGGUUAAUGACCUCAAAAACUCCCCUGGCCCUGGUAAGAGAGAGCUUCGAAUGGCCACCAAACAAGCAAUUCAGGUGCUUCAAGACAAUUAUCCUGAAUUUGUAGCCAAACAGGUAUUUAUCAAUGUUCCUUGGUGGUAUCUGGCAUUUUAUACCAUGAUCAGCCCGUUUCUAACCCAGAGGACCAAAAGCAAAUUUAUCUUUGCUGGCCCUUCAAAAUCUGCUGAGACCCUGUUCAAAUACAUUUCUCCCGAACAAGUUCCAAUUGAAUACGGUGGGUUGAGUGUUGAUAAUUGUGAUUGCAACCCAGAUUUCGAUGCUUCUGAUCAAGCAACGGAAGUCUCAAUUAAACCAUCAACUAAGCAAACUGUUGAAAUUAUAAUUUAU
rnacentral:misc_RNA from 1 species